rnacentral:rRNA from 1 species
CCUACGGGGGGCAGCAGUGAGGAAUAUUGGUCAAUGGACGAGAGUCUGAACCAGCCAAGUAGCGUGAAGGAUGACUGCCCUAUGGGUUGUAAACUUCUUUUAUAUGGGAAUAAAACGUUCCACGUGUGGGAUUUUGUAUGUACCAUAUGAAUAAGGAUCGGCUAACUCCGUGCCAGCAGCCGCGGUAAUACGGAGGAUCCGAGCGUUAUCCGGAUUUAUUGGGUGUAAAGGGAGCGUAGGUGGAUUGUUAAGUCAGUUGUGAAAGUUUGCGGCUCAACCGUAAAAUUGCAGUUGAAACUGGCAGUCUUGAGUACAGUAGAGGUGGGCGGAAUUCGUGGUGUAGCGGUGAAAUGCUUAGAUAUCACGAAGAACUCCGAUUGCGAAGGCAGUUCACUGGACUGCAACUGACACUGAGGCUCGAAAGUGUGGGUAUCAAACAGGAUUAGAUACCCCAGUAGUC